rnacentral:piRNA from 1 species
UGGUUACAAUGUAAGGUUUCCCCCAA